GGAGACACAAUAGAUGGGAAGUCAGAGUGGGAAAGGGCACAGUGAGACACCACGGGGUGAAGGUGGGGCAGUGGGCACAGAGGGGGACGGUGCCCUCCUUUUCCUGGGCUUUGCCCCAAGCAUUGCAAAACCCGGGGCUGCCCCGGGCUGCGUUUGCGGGAACACAGCUGGCUGAGAGCUGUGUGCUUGGCUAUGGGGGAAAGGGGGGGGGGAGGUGCACCCCCCCGACUAUUCCCUGUGCCCACUUCCAGCACAGCUGGGCUCUGCAUGCAGCAAGAAUCCCAAGGAAAAGCUUUGGGAACCUUGCACAAGCAACUCACACCCGCACCUCUCAAGAGAAGCAGCAGCAUGAAGGCCGUGCCUGCCCUCCUGCUCGUGGGGAUGCUCAUCCUCUGGGCUGAGCUGCCAUCAGGCACUGCCUGGUCCUGCCCUGAGGUCCGCUUCACCUGCGCCUUGGCCAACCCGAGGAACGACUGCUACACUGACCGGCACUGCCCGCGCUUCAAGAAGUGCUGCAAAACCUUCUGUGGGCGGCGAUGCAUCGCACGCCCACCCACCAUCCCCUUGUCCUACGUGUGAGCUGCUGCUCCCAGCACAGCCCAAGGGUGCCUGUGUCCCCGUGCCACCUCCAGCACCGUGCACCUGCAGAAGGACCGCCAGCUUGGGGACGGGGACAGCUUCUUGCUCACACUCCGAGACCUCCUCCGCUGCUAUAUGCCAUCUUCUCACCCUCCCCCUUCAUUCCCCGCUGCUGUUACAACAAAUAAAAGCUUGACCCAGGAGCAACAGUGUGCAGUUCCUUUCUUCCCCUCCCUGCCUCUCGUGGCCCAUCCUAGUGCACAUCCCCAGAUGCACCCGAGCUGUGGGAUGGGGAGUAGAACCAGUGCUAUGGGAUGGGGGGUGCAGCACCCAGCAAAUGGCAGGGGCACCCCCCCCCUCCCCACUGCAUGGUGCUGGUGGAGGAUACAAACACCAGAUGACGAGCUUGCCAACCAAACUCAGGUGGGAAAUAGAUCAUCACUCACCCCCAGUACAGAGACCUCCCAUGGAGAUGGCCCCUUGCACCAAAUGCACCCAUGGAGUGGGAAGCACCGUGUCCUGCAUGCUAUGGGACACAGCACAGAGCCCCAGCGCUGCACUCAGGCUGGCACAGUGACAUGGACAGGCUGACACGAUGACAGCAGCACCAGCUAUUAUCAGCUAUUAAGCAGGCAUUUCCAUACAGCUGGCUAAUUUGAUAACGCUGCAAUUAUCC
ensembl:lncRNA